GAUGAAGAACGUAGCGAAAUGCGAUAAGUAAUGUGAAUUGCAGAAUUCAGUGAAUCAUCGAAUCUUUGUACGCACCUUGCGCCCUUUGGCUAUUCUGAAGGGCAUGCCUGUUUGAGUAUCAUGAACACCUCAACUCUCAUGGUUCGCCAUGAUGAGCUUGGACUUUGGGGGUCUUGCUGGCCUACGGUCGGCUCCUCUCAAAUGAAUCAGCUUGCCAGUGUUUGGUAGAGUCGCAGGUGUGAUAACUAUCUACGCUUGUGGUUUUCUGCCAGAUAACCUUCAGUGAUGGAGGUUCGCUGGAGCUUAUAAAUGUCUCUCCCCAGUGAGGACAGCUUUUUGAACGUUUGAUCUCAAAUCAGGUAGGACUACCCGCUGAACUUAAGCAUAUCAAUAAGCGGAGGA
rnacentral:misc_RNA from 1 species